UUCCCCUAGUAACUGCGAGUGAAGCGGGAAAAGCUCAAAUUUAAAAUCUGGCAGUCUUUGGCUGUCCGAGUUGUAAUCUAGAGAAGCGUUAUCCGCGUUGGACCGUGUACAAGUCUCCUGGAAUGGAGCGUCAUAGAGGGUGAGAAUCCCGUCUUUGACACGGACUGCCAGGGCUUUGUGAUGCGCUCUCAAAGAGUCGAGUUGUUUGGGAAUGCAGCUCAAAAUGGGUGGUAAAUUCCAUCUAAAGCUAAAUAUUGGCGAGAGACCGAUAGCGAACAAGUACCGUGAGGGAAAGAUGAAAAGAACUUUGGAAAGAGAGUUAAACAGUACGUGAAAUUGCUGAAAGGGAAACGCUUGAAGUCAGUCGCGUUGGCCAGGGAUCAACCUUGCUUUUGCUUGGUGUACUUUCUGGUUAACGGGUCAACAUCAAUUUUGACUAUUGGAAAAAGAUUAGGGGAAUGUGACAUCUUCGGAUGUGUUAUAGCCUUUAGUUGUAUACAAUAGUUGGGAUUGAGGAACUCAGCACGCCGCAAGGCCGGGUUUUUAACCACGUACGUGCUUAGGAUGUUGGCAUAAUGGCUUUAAUCGACCCGUCUUGAAACACGGACCAAGGAGUCUAACAUGCCUGCGAGUGUUUGGGUGGAAAACCCGAGCGCGUAAUGAAAGUGAAAGUUGAGAUCCUUGUCAUGGGGAGCAUCGACGCCCGGACCUGACCUUUUGUGAUGGCCCCGCGGUAGAGCAUGUAUGUUGGGACCCGAAAGAUGGUGAACUAUGCCUGAAUAGGGUGAAGCCAGAGGAAACUCUGGUGGAGGCUCGUAGCGAUUCUGACGUGCAAAUCGAUCGUCAAA
rnacentral:rRNA from 1 species